rnacentral:rRNA from 1 species
CCUACGGGAGGCAGCAGUGGGGAAUAUUGCACAAUGGGGGGAACCCUGAUGCAGCGACGCCGCGUGAGUGAAGAAGUAUUUCGGUAUGUAAAGUUCUAUCAUCAGGGAAGAUAAUGACGGUAUCUGACUAAGAAGCCCCGGCUAACUACGUGCCAGCAGCCGCGGUAAUACGUAGGGGGCAAGCGUUAUUCGGAUUUACUGGGUGUAAAGGGAGCGCAGACGGCUGUGCAAGUCUGGAGUGAAAGGCGGGGGCCCAACCCUCGGACUGCUCUGGAAACUGUAAAGCUAGAGUGCAGGAGAGGUAAGCGGAAUUCCUAGUGUAGCGGUGAAAUGCGUAGAGAUUAGGAGGAACACCAGUGGCGAAGGCGACUUACUGGACUGCAACUGACGUUGAGGCGCGAAAGCGUGGGGAGCAAACAGGAUUAGAUACCCGAGUAGUC